UCCUCCGUGGCGCAAUUGGCUAGCGCGUUCGACUGUUAAGCACGGCAAAUCGAGAGGUUGAAAGUUCGAGCCUUUCCGGGGGAG
rnacentral:tRNA from 1 species